UGAGGAAUUUUGCGCAAUGGGAGCAAUCCUGACGCAGCAACGCCGCGUGGGUGAUGAAGGCCUUCGGGUCGUAAAGCCCUGUCAGGUGGGAAGAAUGUCUCGGGACUGAACAGGUUCCGGGAGUGACGGUACCACCAGAGGAAGCACCGGCUAACUACGUGCCAGCAGCCGCGGUAAUACGGAGGGUGCAAGCGUUAUUCGGAAUUACUGGGCGUAAAGCGCGUGUAGGCGGUCCUGCAAGUCUGAUGUGAAAGCCCCGGGCGUAACCCGGGAAGUGCAUUGGAAACUGGGGGACUUGAGUACUGGAGGGGAUGGGGGAAUUCCCGGUGUAGAGGUGAAAUUCGUAGAGAUCGGGAGGAAUAUCAGUGGCGAAGGCGCCCAUCUGGACGGUAACUGACGCUGAGACGCGAAAGCGUGGGGAGCAAACA
rnacentral:rRNA from 1 species